UGUCCCAUUUGAAUUUGGUCCCCACCAGCUCUGGGCAGAACACGUUCCCCUGGGUUUAUAGCAGAGCAGCCGGUGGUGGCAACAGGGUCUGAAUUAAACUUCCCCCAAACCAGGAGAAUUUAAUUAAGGCUGAUGUUUAAAUAUGCAACACUAGAGACUCUAAAUAUAGGUUGUGCUUUAUGGAGGGAGAAGAGAGAUCCUUUAUUGAGAUAGAAAGCAAUGUUUCUAACAGCAGAGCCCCUGGAGCAGCAAUACAUCCAGCUGCCAGAGGCAUCUCCUAAUCCAACCGCUUCUUGGUGGGAGAGAAUAACACAGCCACCACUAUUGUCUUCCGCUAUAUUCAUGAGCAUCUGUUCCUUGCCUCUUCAAGAAAAGCCUUGGUUGUCCUCAGGAAGGAUUGCAAUGCUCAUAUGGGAAACCGUGUGAUAUUUCAGUUGACGCCUCAGAUCAUCAGGAGGACCUCCUAUUGGCACUCUCUUGUGAUGUCCUUCCCUGCUCCCAAGUGAUGUGGCCUUGAGGGAUGCUGAGAAUUGCCUCCAUCUGCCUGCAGCAGCAAGGGCUUCUUGGCAUCACAAUGCAGGGUGAGAGGCAAAGCUAAGGGAACUGCCGUCUUGGGGUGGGGGCUCCUGUGUUCUCUACUUGUUUCAAAGUUUUCACCAGAAUCAAGUAACUCAGUUAGUGAAAAUGUUUAUCUGAGAGUUUGGGUUGGGGUGAUAACUGGCCAUCAGAUCCAUCUUAAAGUGCAGUCUAUAUACUUGUUGCACUCAGCAAGAAUGCAAAUAACUCAAAGAAGUUCCUCAGGAACACACCAGUCAAAUGUACAGCUCCAGUUAUGUAUCAGGGACCCAGAUGAAGGGAGGGGAGGGGAGGUGACAGGAGAGGAGAGGACUUUAUAUUAUUCUUGCACAUAAUACAUGCUUAAUGAUAUCUAUCAACACAGGGUUAUCAGCUCCAACAGCCUCGAUUGUGCAGUGCAAUCUCCUCUCACUGCAAGUUCUCCCUGUG
rnacentral:lncRNA from 1 species